rnacentral:tRNA from 1 species
GGGAAUGUGGCUUAGUGGUAGAGUGCUUGCCUAGCAUGCAGGAAGCCCUGGGUUCAAUUCCUCAGUGCCA